rnacentral:rRNA from 1 species
UACGAGAGGCCCAAACGUUAUUCGGAAUUACUGGGCUUAAAGAGUUCGUAGGCGGCGCAGAAAGUAGGGUGUGAAAGCCCUCGGCUCAACCGAGGAAUUGCGCUCUAAACUACUGUGCUUGAGGAAUCUAGAGGUGAGCGGAACUGAUGGUGGAGCGGUGAAAUGCGUUGAUAUCAUCAGGAACACCGGAGGCGAAGGCGGCUCACUGGGGAUUUUCUGACGCUGAGGAACGAAAGCCAAGGGGCAGCGAACGGG